GUGCUCGCUUCAGCAGCGCAUAUACUAAAACUGGAACGCUACAGAGAUUAGCAUGGCCCCUGUGCAAGGAUGACACGCAAAUUCGUGAAGCAUUCCAUAUAAAA